UACGUAGGGGGCAAGCGUUGUCCGGAUUUAUUGGGCGUAAAGAGCGUGUAGGCGGCCUGACAGGUCUGCUGUGAAAACUCGAGGCUCAACCUCGAGAUGUCGGCGGAAACCGUCUGGCUAGAGUCCGGAAGAGGAGAGUGGAAUUCCUGGUGUAGCGGUGAAAUGCGUAGAGAUGUGGAGGAACACCAGUGGCGAAGGCGGCUUUCUGGUCUGUAACUGACGCUGAGGCGCGAAAGCGUGGGGAGCAAACAGG
rnacentral:rRNA from 1 species